rnacentral:rRNA from 1 species
AGGACGAACGCUGGCGGCGUGCUUAACACAUGCAAGUCGAACGGUAAGGCCCUUCGGGGUGCACGAGUGGCGAACGGGUGAGUAACACGUGGGUGAUCUGCCCUGCACUUCGGGAUAAGCUUGGGAAACUGGGUCUAAUACCGGAUAUGACUACGAAUCGCAUGGUUUGUGGUGGAAAGCUUUUGCGGUGUGGGAUGGGCCCGCGGCCUAUCAGCUUGUUGGUGGGGUGAUGGCCUACCAAGGCGACGACGGGUAGCCGGCCUGAGAGGGUGUCCGGCCACACUGGGACUGAGAUACGGCCCAGACUCCUACGGGAGGCAGCAGUGGGGAAUAUUGCACAAUGGGCGCAAGCCUGAUGCAGCGACGCCGCGUGAGGGAUGACGGCCUUCGGGUUGUAACCUCUUUCAGUAUCGACGAGCGCAAGUGACGGUAGGUACAGAAGAAGGACCGGCCAACUACGUGCCAGCAGCCGCGGUAA